GACGAACGCUGGCGGCGUGCUUAACACAUGCAAGUCGAACGGAAAGGCCCUGCUUUUGUGGGGUGCUCGAGUGGCGAACGGGUGAGUAACACGUGAGUAACCUGCCCUUGACUUUGGGAUAACUUCAGGAAGCUGGGGCUAAUACCGGAUAGGAGCUCCUGCUGCAUGGUGGGGGUUGGAAAGUUUCGGCGGUUGGGGAUGGACUCGCGGCUUAUCAGCUUGUUGGUGGGGUAGUGGCUUACCAAGGCUUUGACGGGUAGCCGGCCUGAGAGGGUGACCGGCCACAUUGGGACUGAGAUACGGCCCAGACUCCUACGGGAGGCAGCAGUGGGGAAUAUUGCACAAUGGGCGGAAGCCUGAUGCAGCAACGCCGCGUGCGGGAUGACGGCCUUCGGGUUGUAAACCGCUUUCGCUUGUGACGAAGCGUGAGUGACGGUAAUGGGUAAAGAAGCACCGGCUAACUACGUG
rnacentral:rRNA from 1 species